AUGGGAGACGGACGACUGGAGAAGAACCAGCACAUGGGACAAUCUCCAAGACAUACUCUGGAGUCUAGCACUUUGAGACAAAGGUGUUGGCAGCGCCGGUUCCUUCUGAGAGCCAUGAGGACAGAGUCUCGUUCUGUCCCCAAGGCUGGAGUGCAGUGGCACAAUCCUGGCUCACUGCAACUCCACCUCCCAGUAGAGACGGGGUUUUGUCACGUUGGCGAAGCUGGUCUCAAAUUCCUAAGCUCAAGUGAUGUGCCCACCUUGGCCUCCCAAAGUGCUGGAAUUAUAGGUAUGAGCCAACAUGCCCAGCCUAUAGUAUUUUGUAUAAACAGCCCUAGGAACUAAUAAACAUCAUAGUAUAGGAAAAUUUAAUUCUACCAAAGAGAGAAAGUUUUAUCUUGGAUUUAUUUUGGGUCAUGAGUCACCUGGAUAAUCCAAACAAAGCAAUGGAUCCUCCCUACAAAGAACCCAUACCCACACAGAAUUUUAUAGACAACUUUCGGAAGCUCCCCAAUACCCUCAAGCCCAUUGCUGGCUUUAUGGGGGAGUGAAGAAACAUCUCUGGGCUGACCAAGUCAAGUAGGCUUGAUAAACAGGUGCUUGUCGGUUAACCUUUGUAGAAACAUAACGCAUGAGCAGGGAGAGAAGUCUGUCACUUUUACACUAAGAGGAGCAGGGUGGCAGAAACUGUUGGCAGGUAUUUAGUAACAGGGAGGGCUCCUGGGAAGGAGGGACAUACCCAGGAACAGGAGCCACUGCUUUGCACUCCACCAGAAGUCCCACAAGGUUAAUUCAUUUUAAUUUGAUCGCCCAUGUGUCUAGCAGAUCUGCACUGUUGAUGUCCAACCCAGAUUUUGUUUGACUGCUUCUGUG
rnacentral:lncRNA from 1 species